UAGAGAGGCUGACGGUGACAGCUUGGGCCAU
rnacentral:piRNA from 1 species